UUGGAGGGCAAGUCUGGUGCCAGCAGCCGCGGUAAUUCCAGCUCCAAUAGCGUAUAUUAAAGUUGUUGCAGUUAAAAAGCUCGUAGUUGAAUUUCGGGAUCAAUGUUUCGGUCAUGCCGUUGGUAUGUACUGAUAUUAUUGAUUUCUCACCUUCUAAAGAACCGUAAUGCCAUUAAUUUGGUGUCACGGGGAAUUAGGACUGUUACCUUGAAAAAAUUAGAGUGUUAAAGCAGGCUCACGCUUGAAUACAUUAGCAUGGAAUAAUGAAAUAGGACAUCCGAUUCUAUUUUGUUGGUUUCUAGGAUCGAUGUAAUGAUUAAUAGGGAUAGUUGGGGGCAUUAGUAUUCAAUUGUCAGAGGUGAAAUUCUUGGAUUUAUUGAAGACUAACUACUGCGAAAGCAUUUGCCAAGGAUGUUUUCAUUAAUCAAGAACGAAAGUUAGGGGAUCGAAGAUGAUCAGAUACCGUCGUAGUCUUAACCAUAAACUAUGCCGACUAGGGAUCGGAUGAUGUUAAUUUUUUAAUGACUCAUUCGGCGCCUUACGGGAAAC
rnacentral:rRNA from 1 species